UACGAAGGGGGCUAGCGUUGUUCGGAGUUACUGGGCGUAAAGGGCGCGUAGGCGGCGCACCAAGUCAGGCGUGAAAGCCCUGGGCUCAACCCGGGAAUUGCGCUUGAGACUGGUGUGCUUGAGUACGGGAGAGGAUAGUGGAAUUCCCAGUGUAGAGGUGAAAUUCGUAGAUAUUGGGAAGAACACCGGUGGCGAAGGCGGCUAUCUGGACCGAUACUGACGCUGAGGAGCGAAAGCGUGGGGAGCGAACAGG
rnacentral:rRNA from 1 species